UGGGGAAUAUUGCACAAUGGGCGCAAGCCUGAUGCAGCCAUGCCGCGUGUAUGAAGAAGGCCUUCGGGUUGUAAAGUACUUUCAGCGGGGAGGAAGGUGUUGAGGUUAAUAACCUCAGCAAUUGACGUUACCCGCAGAAGAAGCACCGGCUAACUCCGUGCCAGCAGCCGCGGUAAUACGGAGGGAGCAAGCGUUAAUCGGAAUUACUGGGCGUAAAGCGCACGCAGGCGGUCUGUCAAGUCGGAUGUGAAAUCCCCGGGCUCAACCUGGGAACUGCAUUCGAAACUGGCAGGCUAGAGUCUUGUAGAGGGGGGUAGAAUUCCAGGUGUAGCGGUGAAAUGCGUAGAGAUCUGGAGGAAUACCGGUGGCGAAGGCGGCCCCCUGGACAAAGACUGACGCUCAGGUGCGAAAGCGUGGGGAGCAAACA
rnacentral:rRNA from 1 species